rnacentral:rRNA from 1 species
AUUGAACGCUGGCGGCAGGCUUAACACAUGCAAGUCGAGCGGGGGAGGUUGCUUCGGUAACUGACCUAGCGGCGGACGGGUGAGUAAUGCUUAGGAAUCUGCCUAUUAGUGGGGGACAACAUUCCGAAAGGGAUGCUAGUACGGCAUACGCCCUACGGGGGAAAGCAGGGGAUCUUCGGACCUUGCGCUAAUAGAUGAGCCUAAGUCGGAUUAGCUAGUUGGGGGGGUAAAGGCCUACCAAGGCGACGAUCUGUAGCGGGUCUGAGAGGAUGAUCCGACACACUGGGACUGAGACACGGCCCAGACUCCUACGGGAGGCAGCAGUGGGGAAUAUUGGACAAUGGGCGGAAGCCUGAUCCAGACAUGCCGCGUGUGUGAAGAAGGCCUUUUGGUUGUAAAGCACUUUAAGCGAGGAGGAGGCUCUUAAGGUUAAUACCCUUGAUGAGUGGACGUUACUCGCAGAAUAAGCACCGGCUAACUCUGUGCCAGCCGCCGCCGUAAAAC